AUUGAACGCUGGCGGCAUGCUUUACACAUGCAAGUCGAACGGCAGCGCGGGCUUCGGCCUGGCGGCGAGUGGCGAACGGGUGAGUAAUGCAUCGGAACGUGCCCAGUAGUGGGGGAUAGCCCGGCGAAAGCCGGAUUAAUACCGCAUACGACCUGAGGGUGAAAGCGGGGGACCGAAAGGCCUCGCGCUAUUGGAGCGGCCGAUGUCGGAUUAGCUAGUUGGUGGGGUAAAGGCUUACCAAGGCGACGAUCCGUAGCUGGUCUGAGAGGACGACCAGCACACUGGGACUGAGACACGGCCCAGACUCCUACGGGAGGCAGCAGUGGGGAAUUUUGGACAAUGGGGGCAACCCUGAUCCAGCCAUGCCGCGUGCGGGAAGAAGGCCCUCGGGUUGUAAACCGCUUUUGUUCGGGAAGAAAUCCUCUGGGCUAAUACCCCGGGGGGAUGACGGUACCGGAAGAAUAAGCACCGGCUAACUACGUG
rnacentral:rRNA from 1 species